GAGAGGCUGUGGACCAAGUGCGUCAGUACUGAGAGUGGUAGUGAGGGUCCCAGGCUGGUGCAGCAUGAAGAGUACCACAAGAAAUGCCCACCUGUGAGACCGCUGAGGCCGGGCAGCGCCUAUCCACCUCCCCACCCACUUUUUCUCAGAUCACAGGCCUGGGAUCUUGGUACAGUCCAAAUGGUGGGGAAAGAGCAUGGAGAAUAACAAAUACAGAACACUUCUUGUUGACUUCUUCAGUGCUUGUCACGGAUUGGAUUCCCUGGGAAGCAGAUGCUGUGUUGGAGAUGUGCACAUCACAAUGUUAUUGCAGGAGCAUGUUCUUGGGAAUACAAAUGUGGGGGAGUGAAGAGAAGAAAGCAGGAUGAAGCAGAAGGAAAAGAGGAGCUGCAAUCCAGUGCCCAAAGAGCUGUAGAACUGAGAUCACUCUGAAGAACUGUCCCAAACUGGAAGAAGAGGGGCAAGUAAUUAUAAUACCCUAUUGAUAAUCAUUGGAUGAGAGCUUCCCUGGGGAAGGAGGCAUUACUUUGUUCAUGGUGGGUCCCUUAAGCUAACGCAGUUUCAUCACAACGAUGCUCUCAAUCUGGAGUACACACAUCAAGAGAUGGGCAGACCCUUCAGGAGAGGUUUAAUGCAUCCAGUACACAUCGUGGUCGCUCCGCACAUGCUGGUACCCCCUGCUCCAUUAGCAGAAAUUGCUAAUUCUGAAGGUCUCCCCAUUUAAUGUAAUCCACCUCUCCCUCAUUUAAUCACAAAUACAUUCACGCCCUUCCCAGCAGGAGACAACUGAAUAUCACGUUGUGGGCUGUUCUUCAGGUACGUUCAGGUGAUAUCCAUUCCUCUUCUAGGUGCAGGUUCUCAAGGUCUACUAGCCUGUGGGCAAUGGGAGAUUGGUUAAACGAAUUGAGACACACUCAUAUGGUAGAUCAUUAAAACUAAAGUUGUAGAAGAUAAUCAUUAUAAGAGAAAAAGCUUCUGGGAUGUUGUUAAGGGGAAGAAGAUAAUAAAACAAUGUAUACCAUAUAAUUCCACUUCUGGGGAAAAAACAUACAUAUGAGAAAAAUCUGUAAGAAGGUACAUUAAAAUCCAGUAGUUACUUCUGGGGUGGUAGGAUUAUUGGUUAUUCUACUCUUUCUCCUUUUCUUUAAAUAUGUUUUCUAGAUCAGACAAAAAUAAUGUUACUUUUGAAAUACUGAAAAUAUUAUUUUUCCUCUAAAAAUUAUAGAUGUCUUAUGAGGAGUAUGUUUGUGGCUACAUUAGUCAAUUAAUGAUUGCUUGACCACUAGUUGGAGAAAUCAGGAAUGAGACUUUAAGUGGAGCUCGUAUGUUAACAGUGGCGGCUUCAGAGCCUGGAAGAUUUAGGAAAGGACUAGUCUGGGUAAAAGGAGAAGGUUUAGACCUAUGCUGUUCAAGACAGAGGCCACUAGCCACAUGUGACCACUGAGCACUUGAAAUAUGGCUAGUUCAAAUUGAGAUGUGCUUUAAGUGUAAAAAAAAAAUAAGAUUUCAAAGAUUUAGUAUUAAAAAUAUUUUAAAAUCCUCAAAAAUUUUUAAUAUUACAUCUUGAAAUAAUUAUAUUUUGUAUAUAUUGGGUAAAUAAAAUAUAAUAUUAAAAAUGAUUCACAUCUUUGUUUUGUACCGUGCUGAUUUAGAUACUUGUCAGGAAAUGUAAGUUCUCUGAAACACCCCCCAAAGGGAAAAGAAUAUGAAAAAGCAUUUGCCUCACAGGAAACCUGCCAACCUUUCUGUUUUACUUGGUGCUUUAGUAGGACAACCACUGGAAAGGGCAGUUUGUUGUCAAAUGAGCAUGUCAAAUGAACUCCAACCACUGCAAGGCAAAAUGAAACCCACGCUACCUAAAAGGUGUAGAUAUCAGUCCAUGUAAUUGAAAUCUGUCGACUUGGGGGUAAGUUAAAGAAACACCGUGUUGUUGUAGAAGGCCAUUGACAUCUUCUCCUGGUAAAACCCCCAGAGGGUGCUGUCUUAAGGUGUUGGACAGAAACUGCCCCAUGGCAUCUACACACUGGAUGUUGAUUUGAGUUAAACUGAGCAUUUGACAGAAGGAUUCUGACCCAUUCCCUGGAGUGAUUUGGGAAGGUAUUUAUAAAAAGGAAUGAUGUGCUCCAGUGAUUUACAAUAAUGGCAUAUAUUGUUUUGUCUUUGGUUUGUUUCUUGAUUGUAAAUAUUGGUCAGUGUCCAAAAUUAAGAUGCAAUCACUGGUUACCCCAACCUGGGAUGUUUAUUUGGAAAAACACAAAGUGGUUUAAAAUUCAUACAAAUCACUCUAAACCUGGGUACACUCUUUUUCUUUAAAUCUUAGAUUCUGCUGUCAGAUCAAGAGAAAAAGGGAAAGCUUUCAUAUUGCUCAAAAUGAUUUUUUAAAAUUUCCUUCAUUUCUUACUUCCUUCUCAACUCUUUUCCACUCUAAAACAUUCUCAACUCCCUAACUCAUUAAGAUAUUUUAUUCAUAAAGAGAACUUAAAUUAAGAUUUAAAUAAAUAUUUAUUAAACUGUUUUCCAGAUUUACAAAAUCCAGCUGGGUAACUCAUUGAAAAUAAGUACUGUGUAAUCUGUUGUCUAGUAAAAAGGGUUUGAACAGGAUGUUUAGGCCACAUCUCAGCUCCAUCAUUCCUUCUGGUAUCCUGGCAUCACUGGGUAAGUUCACAGUUUAAGGAAGGAAUCUGAGGUGGUAGAACCAGGUGUGCUGGAGAGGCAGCCUAGGUCAGUGGCUAAGAGUGAAAUUCUGGCUUCACCACUUUCUAGCUCUUACAACCUUAGGAAGGUUAUGUAAUUUCAUAUUAUUAUUAUUAUUAAAGCCUUAUGAUAUAGUUAUUAUUAUUAUCUCCAUUUUAAAGAUGAGAAAACACAGAGCACAAAACCAUAAAGACUGUGUCUGGGAUGCAGUAAGUGUUAUGUAAGGGUGUUAAGCAAGUAAGCAUACAAAAUGCAGGACCAAAAGAAGCAACACCAGCCCCCAAACUACACCAUGUGAAUUUCCAAAGAACCAAGUGUUCACACUACAUCAAAACGAGCCUGUUGAAUCUUUUGGACUCUGAGAAAUAAAGCAUAGUUAUUAUCAAAUUAAGAUUUAAAUUCAAUUCCUCAGCUGCGUCUUGAUCACUGGAUACCACUUUAAUAAUCACAUUAUUAAAGAAAGUUCCAAGUUUGGGGUGGAAUACUGCAGAUGAGGAAAGUAGAAAUUACUGCUAUAUUAUGAUCUACACUUUGUCUUAAUAUGAUCUGGCCCAUAUAAAAAUGCUCCAGAACAGUUGCAAAAUAUGGAUAUUUUUCUUUGAAAACCAGCCUUUUGUCUUUAUAACUUACAAAGCCAUUUUUCCCAGUCCACAAAGCUAUUUGGUCACAAAUUUAAGAAACCAGUGAUUCCUGAGAUAUAUGUGCUUUCACACUUCAGGAAAUAAUUUCAAAAUGAUUUUGGCAGUCUACCCAUUUUUAUAAAGAUAAAAAACUAAAAUAUUAUUUUGUCUUAGAAAUAAGUAUUAAUAGAGACAUUAUUAUAUCUUUGCCCCUAGAGCUUUAGAAGCAAAGAUUUGUCUUUCUCUUCCUCUCUCUCUCACUCUUCCCUAUUUCCUCCUUCCUGGUGAGUCUUACUUCUGUAUACUAGAGUAAUUAUAUCUAUUUUUUUGAAUGCUUUUGUAUGUAUAUUAUAAAGUGUUUCCUUUCUUGUUCUCAAUUCAAAUGGAAUACUGAACUGUGCUCUCUGUAUACUAAGUUAACUGGGGCCUGUCGGGGGGGUGGGGGGAGGGGGGAGGGAUAGCAUUAGGAGGAAAACCUAAUGUAAAUGAUGAGUUAAUGGGUCCAGCAAACCAACAUGGCACAUGUAUACAUAUGUAACAAACCUGCACGUUGUGCACAUGUACCCUAGAACUUAAAGUAUAAUAAAAAAAAAAAUUUAAAAAAAAAUUUUGCCCAGCUCGUUUUUUUUCUUUAACUAGAAUACUAAAGAGAUACAAUGAUCUAUUUUAAACAAAGCUAUUUGUCUUAGUAUUUUUUAAAAUAGUACAAGGUGGAAAACAAGCUCAGGGUCUAUCCCUAUCAGAAUAGUCAAACAACCAGAGUUCAUGCAUACUCUAGUAUAAUCUGCAUCUGCUUAAAAAUUUGAAGUCACAUAUACUAAUUUUAAAAAGCCAAUUCCGACACAUUUUAAGAGGGAAACGAUGCAGAUUUUCCGCUCUAGCUCUGCUAUGGUUUGAUUCUUUGUCUCUUCCAAAACUCAUGUUGAAAUUUUAUCCCCAGUGUGGCAGUAUUGAGAGGUUAGGCCUUUAAGAGGUGAUUGGAUUGUGAGGGUUCUGACACGAAUAGAUUGAUCCAUUUGUGGAUUAAUGGGCUAUCACAGGAGUGGAAAGAGAGGAAGAGAGAUCUGAGCUAGCACACUUAGAAAGCUUGCCAUGUGAUACCCUGUGCCACCUUGGAACUCUAUAGAGAAUCCCCACCAGCAAGAAGGCCCUCACUAGAUGCAGACCCUCGACCCUGGACCUCUCUCAGCCUCCUUAACUGUAAGAAAUAUAUUCUUUUCUUUAUAAAUUACCCAGUUUCGGGUAUUUUGUUGUAAGCAACAGAAAACUAAGACAAGCUCUCUUUAUAUAUGUGUGUGUAUAUAUAUAUAUAUAUAUAUAUAUGUAUUUUUUUUCUGUGUAGCAAAAUCCCAUUUAUGUUUUUUCUCAAUGAAUAGAAGGCCUGAGAAGAGUUAACCUUUCUGAAGAUACAGCUAUGAGUGUGCCAGUAGUAAUGGGAUAACCUUUUACUCUGUAUUGCCAGAAUCUUUCAAAAGGACAAAUUCAUGUAUAUUUUGUAUUAUUAUUUCUUAAGUCUGUGGUCUGCAACAGAGAAUAAAAAGCUGUUUCAUAUCUUCUGUGUGUGCAAGGAACACAGCAGGAUUCUGAAGAGGAAGUUUGCCAUUCUCUGCUUGUCAAGGCUCCUCUCCAAGCCCAUGAUCACCCUUCCUUUUUAGCAGCAUUCUGAAGACCCCUGCUGGGAUGGUCUACCGUGGAGAGAGCACCGUCCACCAUUCCAAAUUUAUUGCUGCCUUUCGUCUAUCAGAAUUUAUCUGCCCCAUUCCCUUUUUGUUUGCCUUGCUUUCUUCCCCAAAAGGUGAAAGUUGAUACUAAUUAAGUGCUAUCUCCAAAGGCCUCUAAAAAUAGAGCAUAAAGCAAUAAAUAACAUCAUACAAGAAUAAAUCAACAGAGUUGAUAAGUCAUUUUCUGCUAAGAAAUAUGAACUGGCUCAAUGUACAUAAAAAUUAGAUGUAAGAGUAUCUGUUUUGGGUUGCUUCAGGUGUGAGAUAGGGAUGAUGCUCCAGUAGCCAAUACCACCCCAAAAACACAGGUAUGAAAGAUCUCUCCAUACUUUUUCUCUACUGUGCUGACAGUCCCUUUAGACUUACUUGUAUAUCAAGGUGUUUUAAAGACAGUAUAUUCUUGAAGUGGCCAAGCCACAGGGUUGGGAAGACAUGAAGCAUUUGCUCCUGAGAUGACUGGAAGGUCCAGAACUCUGAGUGUAGGCAAGACCACUAACAUCUUUGGCUCAUGAGAGGCAGCCAGUCCUGGCAAGUCACUUCAUAUGUGGGUAGAGGUUGCAUCUCUGGUCCAGCGGAGCCCCUAGUGCCAACUCCUCAGAUGCACUGUCCUUCCUCCUCACUCUAUCACACUCCUUCGUCAUCCUUCCUGUAAGCUUGACACCUACCGAACUACCCUUUUAAUGUCACACUGUCCCAAGAUUUACCCUCAAGAAAUAACGCCAGAAAGUCCAC
rnacentral:lncRNA from 1 species